GUGGUGGAUGUGGACUUUAAAACAGUGUCUCAACAUUUCAUCCUCAACUGUCUCUUUUUAAUCUGAUUGCACUACAAAAGAAAAGCUGCUAAUGGGAUAAAUGUUGAGACGUUACAAGAACUGACUUGAAGUACCAAAAGCCAUUAUUAUUAAUCAAGAAGAGCUUGAAGCUAAGUCUGUAUCUGACCAGUCAGUAUCACUUUCACCUAACAGGCAUGGCAAGUAAACGAAAAUCAACAACACCGUGCAUGGUCUUGGCCAACGAGCAAGAUCCGGAUCUCGAAAUGGUAUCAGACUUGGAGGAAGGACCACCUGUAGUCAAGCCAGCAGAUAAUAAUCCUACAGCAGAGAGCAUAGCAAGCGAAGAGGAUGUCCAUGAGAACGUGGAUUCAGACAAUCAGAAAAAUACAAAUAAAGUAGAAGGUGGUUAUGAGUGUAAAUACUGUUCUUUUCAGACUCCAGAUCUCAAUAUGUUUACUUUCCAUGUGGACUCAGAACAUCCCAAUGUAGUAUUAAAUUCAUCCUAUGUCUGUGUAGAAUGCAAUUUUCUCACCAAAAGAUACGAUGCUCUCUCAGAACAUAAUUUGAAGUAUCACCCUGGAGAGGAGAAUUUUAAGUUGACCAUGGUGAAACGUAAUAAUCAGACAAUCUUUGAACAAACAGUAAAUGAUCUCACUUUUGAUGGGAGUUUUGUUAGAGAAGAAAAUGCUGAACAGGCUGACCCUUCUGAGCCCCCCUCCGCUGGGAUCUCCAUUAGCAAAACUCCUAUUAUGAAAAUGAUGAAAAACAAAACUGAGACUAAACGCAUUGCUGUUUUCCACAAUGUAGUCGAUGGCAUUCCUGGUGAAGAGAAGGGAAAGGAAAAUGAGCCAAACUCUGAAGAAGUAGUAGAAAACCCACCACUGGCAGUUUCUGAGUCCAAAGCGAGCCAUUCGGUUGCUUGCAGUGCGGCCGAUGUAGCUAGUACGGUUGUGACCCCAGUGAUUCAGCCUGGGGUGGCACAGGUUAUAACGGCUGUUACAGCUCCACAGAACUCAAACCUGAUCCCCAAAGUCCUGAUACCUGUAAACAGCAUUCCAACCUAUAAUACUGCUUUGGACAACAAUCCUCUUUUGCUCAACACCUAUAACAAAUUCCCAUAUCCAACCAUGUCAGAGAUCACUGUUCUUUCCACUCAAGCUAAGUACACCGAGGAACAGAUUAAAAUCUGGUUUUCUGCCCAGCGUCUGAAACAUGGUGUGAGCUGGACACCAGAGGAAGUGGAGGAAGCAAGGAGGAAACAAUUUAAUGGCACAGUGCAUACUGUGCCACAGACAAUUACCGUUAUUCCAGCGCAUAUUUCCGCUGCCAGCAAUGGUUUACCUUCAAUUUUACAGACAUGCCAAAUAGUUGGUCAGCCAGGACUUGUUCUCACUCAAGUUGCAGGUGCAAAUACGUUACCAGUAACAGCCCCAAUAGCUUUGACUGUAGCAGGAGUCCCAAACCAAACCCAGUUACAGAAGAGUCAGAUUCACACUGCUCAGCCUAUUGCAGAAACCAAACAAGUUGCUGCCGUUCCAGCCCCUCAGCCUAUCAAAAAUGAAACCGCACACAUGAAUCCCGAUAACUUUGGCAUGCGAGCAAAAAAAACAAAGGAGCAACUGGCAGAAUUAAAGGUCAGCUACCUUAAAAAUCAGUUUCCUCAGGAUUCAGAAAUUAGUAGACUUAUGAAAAUAACAGGCCUGACUAAGGGAGAGAUCAAGAAGUGGUUCAGCGAUACACGCUACAAUCAGAGAAACUCAAAGAAUAACCAUGGGAUCCAUCUCAACAGUGACUCAUGUGCCACCAUCAUUAUUGACUCCAGUGACGAAAUGAAUGAGUCUCCAACAGGAGUUGUUCCACAGAACAAGUCGUCCUGGAGUGCAUUUCCUGACUUCACCCCACAGAAAUUCAAAGAGAAGACAGCCGAGCAGUUGCAAGUCCUCCAAGCAAGUUUUCUUAAUAAUCCUGUCCUUACUGAUGAAGAGAUGAAUAGGUUAAGAGCCCAAACCAAACUUACCAGGAGAGAGAUUGAUGCCUGGUUUACAGAAAGAAGGAAAUCUACUGUCUUAAAGGAGGAGGGGACUGAGAUGAAUGAGAGCAAUGCCAGCAGCUCAAAAGAGGAAGCUGCGGGAGAAACAUCUGUGGGAGAUGGAGCAGCAGGGUCAAAAUCAGGGAGCACCGCUUCAAGCAAAGUAGGCAAAAAAUCACCAGAGCAGUUGCACAUGCUUAAAAGUUCUUUUGUCCGUACUCAGUGGCCAUCUCCACAGGAGUACAACAAGCUGGCAGAAGAAACGGGGCUCCCGAGAUCAGAAAUUGUGAGUUGGUUUGGAGAUACUCGCUAUGCCUGGAAAAAUGGGGGAUUGAAGUGGUAUUAUUACUACCAGAGUGCCAAUGCAAACAGUCUGAAUGGCCAAGGCUUUUCAAGGAAGAGAGGGAGAGGAAGACCAAAGGGGCGGGGAAGAGGGAGGCCUCGAGGGAGGCCUCGGGGAAGCAAGAGGUUAAAUUGCUGGGACCGAGGUGUGUCUGUCAUAAAAUUCAAAACUGGAACAGCAAUCUUGAAGGACUACUAUAUGAAGCACAAAUUCCUUAAUGAGCAAGACCUUGAUGAACUCGUAGCUAAAUCUCACAUGGGGUAUGAGCAGGUCAGAGAGUGGUUUGCAGAAAGGCAGAGAAGAUUAGAACUCGGAAUAGAGCUGUUUGAGGAAAACGAGGAGGAAGAUGAAAUGCUGGAAGAUCAGGAAGAUGAAGAGGAAACGGAUGAUAGUGAUACUUGGGAACCCCCACGACAUGUUAAGCGUAAACUUUCAAAAUCAGAUUGAUGUGCAGUUUGGAAUCUGGGAGCCAAAAACCUGUGAGUUAGGUUUGAUGUUAUGGUGAAGAGCCAAACAAUUUUUCAUGGCCUUCAGCUUCAGCAAGCACCUGCUUAGCAUCUUCGUUGCACCUGAAGGAACGUGGGCAAGAUGCUGUCUGCGCAGGCAACAGAUAUUUGCUUCCUUGCUACCAGAGAUGGAUGUCCUUGGGCCUAGCUGAGCAUGUGGGGUUAUAAAUCAGCGCCAGUUCAGCUCCUUCUCUCCCACAUGACCAGUGGGAAGGUUCAUCAUUCAUGUGACUGCUACUCAAUAUUUAAUGGCCUUAUGUUGUUUAAUUCCAAAAAACAAACAAACCACAGACACAUUUUUCUGUUGUUGUAGGAGAACAUUACCUGCUCGCAGAGGAGGAAAGUGCAAAAACCUAAGAUGUCUUUUUGCAAACAUCACUUCACCUGAAAGGUUUCAAGGCCUGGGUUUGUUUCUUAAGGAAAGAAUUCAAAAGAGAAGGGGAAAAGUGUGACAAAGGAAUCAAUGAAUAUAGGGCAUGUAUGUAUUUGCACUGUGUACUGUGGGAGAGAGGGAAACACCUUCCAGAGGCCUCCUGCAUCAGAAAUGACAAGAAAAGCACUGGAAAGAGCUGUCAGCGUGCUGGUGGCUGACAGGAUGGACUGCUUUGUCUGUAACUUGUGGUCGUGGCUGGUUGGAGCUCAAAACUGCUGGUAACUGUGGUUAGUCCAGAUUCAUCUCAUCUCCUGUUAGGCUGCUGUGCUCCUUACCGUGGUGCCCAAGGCAUACUGCAUUGCCUGAGAGAAAUAGAAAUUGUCGAGGGGAUUCAGCACAUCCUCAUUCUCUCCCUGGAUUGACGUGAGCAUCAGUUCCUCUGGAGCUAAAGUUGAGAUUUCUCCUUCAUCUGCUGUCUGCCAAGAGUACCUGAUGUUACAAUGCUAGUUAAUGCUGUCUGUGGAAUACAGUUAACUGAGGAUGAAGGUAAUCCUUUGCUAGAAUUGAGAGGGAGAAGGGCUAAAAGCAAGCAGUGUCGCAAUUGGUGAGCCAUCCAUUGUCCCUUACCACAGUGCUUCAUGGCAUGUUCUGCUCUUGCUUCUGAGUACAAUGGAAAGCACAGUUCUGUCUAUGUAGUGCUGGCUUUCCAGUGUUGCCCUCUUAAUAACCCCAAGAUUGGUGUGAGUUAUAAAAAGAAAGUCAGCGUUACUCCCCCUUGCUUUGAAUGAACUGAGGGAGUGCUUGUGUGGUAUGCAAAGAAAGGAAAAUGCAGAAUCUUGAAGAGACCGCCUGUUGCUUGCCCUGCAGAAUUCACUUACCUAGAACCUGAUGAGAAAACUAAUGUUACGCUUGCUGUUCUGACAGAACAACUGUUGCAGUCUCUCAUGUUUAGCAUGUACAAAUCUCUGCUUUGAUUUGAAGGCAAAAGAAAGAUAUCUAGCACCUGGUGAUUAGAAUGUACUGGAUUAUCUCUAAUACACCUUAGUAAAUUAGGCCAUUCCAUUUUUCAGCUUUGUCCGAUAAUGAUUUUAAAGCUUUUAUUUUUUUAUCCCACAGCAUUACAUGCAGGAUUGUUUCUGUCUGUAACUCUGAAGGAAACUCAUGCAGAAUCCACAUGUGGCAUGAAAUAAUUUUUCUAAUGCAUGACUUGCUGACUUCGGGCAAAAGCCUAUUUUCUUCCAGCUCACCAAGGAACCGAGGCAGGCAAAUGCACUCCUUUUUCCUCUGCAGAGCAGAGAAAGGAUUCCUGAAGCCCAUGCGAAGUGAUUCACAGCGCGAUGCAGUCCCAAAGGCCAGAAGGCCCCAGCAUGCAGACAUUCUCCUCCUCCUUCUCUAUUUUCCUCUGAAAUGAGAGCACAGCAGCAACUCUGACAACUGGUCUCUGUCUGCUGAGUAAUAAGCUGUAGUUUUAGGUCAGGAGUAUUUUCCCUUUUGCACUUAAUGGAGUACUGUGUAUUCGAAUUGGAUCUCAGUGUUUGCUUUUGUAGAUACAACGGUCCCAAUUUGCAUCCUCCACCACCUCCUCCUGUCUGUCUAUAUUCAUAUCUCCCAAGGAGAGAAGAUAAUUGUUAAGAUUCUGUAAUGUUAAAUAUCCCUGCCCUUACCUGAAUACACCCACAUGUAGAGCUCAAUGAAAUAUAGUUACUUUCCUUGAUUUAAUUUAUUAUUUAUUGGAAGAUUAUUUUGCCUGCAUUUAGUAGUAAUGAAAAUACAGUACUGAUGAGAGAACAGUAGAACUCUUGAGAGGUAUUCACAAUACCUGGGAUGAUGGUAUAAGUUACAGAUGGGAAGGGCAAGUGCAGGGCUCAGUUCUGUGCCCUGAGCAGCGCUGUGUUGUGCUUGUGUUCUCCAUCAGGCUUCUGAUAUCAUAGGGCUGAGUACGUAUGGUAUGUGGCAUGACACAGACUUGUUGGGUCAAGUGACUUAAGGUUUGUGAUGUAUUAAAACUAGGUAGGAAAUGAAAGCUGUAGCAGAAGGUGAACAUUUCAAUAACUACAUGCUCAGUAGCUUGAAUUUCUGUAUUGUUAUCUCACUUUUGAAAAGGGAGAUUUUGAAGCACAGACCGGUUAUAGACAGUAUUUUCAAGUUGAAUAGUCUGAGCUUUGGGGUUUUCUUCCUUCUGCAGUGAAGAGCAUCUAUGUUUUUUUCCAGUGUUUUAUACAUUUUAAAAAUGACUUAACACAGCAUUUAAAAUGUUGAAUGGUAACUGAGGAUCCCACCGCACUUUUCAUGAAUGAAGGUGGGAUUCUUCUGAUUGUAUGUCGGUGUCUGCCUUUGAGCAAGACGCCGUAGUAGCUGAUCAGUACAGCUAACGAGUGCGUGUCAGCAGCUCAUCCUAACUGCCUGCAGUUGAUCAGAUGAGCUGCGCCCUGAACUCCACUGACUGUUACAAGUGGCUCGCAGACACUGGAGUUAGAGCCAUUUGAAGUUAGUUGAGAUGCAGCCUCACCUUGGAGCGCGCUGGCUGGCUGGCAGCACUGUGCGUUGUGUCCUGUUGAGCUUUCCUUGUGGUUAGCCAUGGUACUCUCCUCUGCUCCCCACCUGGCGCUCACUGGGAGAUGUGAGGCCUUGGUUUGGUAUGGUUUGGUUUUGGUAGUUAUUCUAGAGCAGGUGGCAAUACAGUGGUGGAUAAAGUAACUGAUCCUUGGUUAUAGAACUGUGGCAUAAAUAUGGUUUGGGGGUUUCUGAGUUUUGUAGAGAGAAUGUUACUGUAUGAACAUUGGAUUGUGCGUAUCUUAAAAUGUGUUGAGACAAGUCAGACUUGUGUCCCCAUUGAUCAAAGCAUUUCCUUACCCUUAUUCAGUACCAGAUAUCUAUCAUGAAACUUAUGUAAAGAAUCUGCCAGAAUGACGAAGAUUCGAGUUGUCUUCAUUUGUGAUACAAAACAACCCACCACAAGAGCUCCACUACGAUUCUGGAAUGUUCCCCAUGCCUCCAGUUCCAGCUUACAGAAGCAUUUCCAGUUCCGCUUAGUUGGUUAUCUGCAUGUAUGCUUACAGUUUGUACAGAAAUGCACUAAAAAUGAGUUGCCCGACCCGGGAAGGCUUUAUAUUGUAUAGAAAAUGUGGCACUAGGUACUGCUCUUCAUGUGCACAGGAGAGUUAACAGGUGUCGAUCUCGUUUACAGAAAUGAUGGAGCUUUGCAAUUUUCUAGAAUACAUUGCAAUAUAUUUAAAUGUCCUGUUUGACGUGUGAAAUGAAAUUAAGUUAAUGCAUUGUUAUGUAUUUGAAUAUGAGGAAGAUGAUUCACUAACGACCAGCAAGGUUUUUAGAAGGUAAUCAGUAUGUAGCAGUCUGUGUGAUCUGUCUGGUGUAUGUGAUGUUGCUAAAGGAAGCAACGCUAUUAUUAUUGUUUAGAAUUAAGAGUUUCUUACGAGUGAUGCAAUAGCUUACAGUGUCUUUCCUUUGUAGCUGCCCAGUGUGGUGAAGGGGAAGCAGUUCUUGAAAAAGUUCAAGAUAACUGGUUAACUGUGAAUGGGCCUAAUCUUUCGUGCAACCAAGAAAAUAUUUGGACACACACAGGACUUGAAUACUCUAAAGGAUUGGAACUUAGUGUUGUGCCAAAGUUAAAACUACUGCAGUUGGCAGAAGUUCUGCACUGUAAAUAGAAGACUGAUUAAAAGACAGCUUGUAAAAAAAAAAAAAAAAGAAA